GACGAACGCUGGCGGCGUGCUUAACACAUGCAAGUCGAGCGGUAAGGCCCUUUCGGGGGUACGACGAGCGGCGAACGGGUGAGUAACACGUGGGUGACCUGCCCUUACGCUCUGGGAUAAGCCUGGGAAACGUGGGUCGUAAUACCGGAUAUGACUCCAUAACGCAUGUUGUGGGGUGGAAAGCCUUGUGCGGCUAGGGAUGGGCCCGCGGCCUAUCAGCUUGUUGGGUGGGGUGAUGGCCACCAAGGCGACGACGGGUAGCCGGCCUGAGAGGGCGACCGGCCACACUGGGA
rnacentral:rRNA from 1 species